ensembl:lncRNA
UUGGAUGCCAACCUCCGUUUUAAUCCAAAGAAGAAGAAGAAGCAUUUUCAUUCAACACGUUACUGGUAAUGGCGGCGCCGACGACGAAAGUGUUUUAUCAAAGAAAGGCAGCGCAGAAACUGUGGUUUCACUCAUUUCUAGGAGUCUAAACGACUGAUGGAUGAGAAAUUCAUUGUUAAAGCAUACAUUACCUCAUUUAAACGGCAAUGAUGCCAUCAAAGACCCUGGAAGCACAACGGUCAAAGCUACCGUCAUACCACAAUCGGGCCUCGAUAACAUGCAAUAUUUUGAAAGCCAUGUGUAAGAUUGCAUAGACAUGUCACGGCGAAAUCCUGUCAUGGUUGAAUAACAGUGUGGCCCAAUUUGUCAGAGUGCCGAGAAGGAGUCUGAGAUGGGCAAACCGGAAGACCUGCGGGGAGAAUGAACCUGGGAGCCUUCUCGGCUCAUUCACAGACCAGCUCAAUAACCACAACGCUGCGGUACCAAAUACAAACCAUGUUCCAAGUGAUGCUGGCUAAUGCAGGCGGUCCAAGAGAAGAAGCAGAGCGAUGAGGAGGACACUCUGGAGUUUGAUGAAGAGGUGACAGCUGUAUCUUGUUUCGUGAAUGCAGCGCAAGACUUGGGAGUAUGAGCUCACUAUCGGUAAACGUCAAGCUUGACAAUCAUCUUCAGGGAGGCAUGUAAAGGUGUGGAGGCCAGCCAGCGACCAUCCACCCGGGGCACCCUGGAGCUAGCUAAUCCCAGAAAGGAGGACCUGGGGCUGGGUGAUGAUCAGGAGGAGCUGGGGGAGGAGGGCCUGGAGACCAGGGCAGAAGGGACAACCUAACGGUUCACAGUACUGCAAGAACUUCAGUAAGGAGUGGGUCCUGCACCCCCAUCUUAGAAGACGCGGAGUGAGGCCAGGGGAGGAAGGGUCUGGCCUCCCACCUGCUGACUCAUAGUAGUGCCAAAGCCUACGCCUGCAAUGUGUGUGACCAGCGCUUUACAUUUAAUCUCUCAGCAAGCACCGCCGCCAACACAGCAUCGUCAAGCCCUACGGCUGCCCUCAAUGCCCCAACCACUUCUACCGCAUCGAGGGGCUCAACAGCCACCUACGCAUCCAUGGAGAGAGGCAAGAACGCGCCCCACCCAAGCCUAAACUGUUCAUGUGUACUGACUGUGGUAAGGCUUUUUCCAUUCCGGUGCAGCAGGCCGUUCAUGAGAGCACACACACUGGGAAGCGAGCCUUCGAGCCUCUUCCCCCCUCUAUCUGCCACAAACGGCUUCUCCACGUGGAGGUACUGGGCGGUCACCUGAUGACACACCAGGUGAACCAGACGUUUCUCUGCCCGCACUGCUCCAAGGGCUUCCGCUGCGCCAAGCACCCACCGCUGCAGCCUCUGUAUCACGACCUUCCACAUGCCCAACGAGCUCCGUCACCAGCUGGAGCGUGCACACCCCUGCCCCUACGGCGGGAAGAGCUUCAAGGCGGACUAUGGGGUCAUGCUGCACUGCCGAACACACAACGACGAGGUGCCCGUACCCAUGUGAACUCUGCUCUUUGAGUUUCAAGGGGACGCAUCUCCUGGCAUCCCACAAUCUCACUCACACUGGAGAUCGCCAUGUGAGUGUGUGAGCUGUGCCAGCGUAAGUUCUCUCGGCCCACUGGUCUGCAGAUCUCUGGAAGUUACACCAGAGUGAGAAGCCAUACAGACUUCGCUAACCUGGCCCUCCUGGAGGCACACAACCGCACUUCUCAUCCUGACCCCCUACAGACGAAGCAGGCUGAGGUACUGAUUCAGGGCCGCAGGUGCCACAAGAUUCUACCACGACCAGAGGGGGGAGAGAGAGACCUGUCCACUCCCCCUGCCCUACCCAAACAAGGGGAACCCCCAACACAGCAGGCAGCACCUGGUCAGGUUUUGUAUCGGGGUUACAAUUAAACGGGGGGUAUCAUGAUUGUGCGCACCCAACAACCUGACACACUUCCUAUCCAGUCACCUGCCACUGCCGUAUUCCCCGCCCCCAUGACGAGCCAGACCACAACCACACCAGCAGGACCCCUCAAACUACAGAUGCCACUUACACCAAACACAUCUACCACCACGUUGCAACACAAGCCACCAAACCUAGACAGAAAGCUACCCCACCCAGACCCAGGAGGCUUCGCAAAUCUGAGAACAAGAACACGCCGUCAGUCAAAAACCCAGAACCACCUCCACAACAUGACCUUACUGCUAGGGCCAGCACUAAAAGGUCAAGGGUCAUCUCAGUCCGAGACAGCAGGGCAGCUGGUGACUGAAACUACUCCUAAUUCUGCCACCAAAUACAACCGCAAGUCCUUUACCAAAGUUCCGGGCCUGACCUGAGCACAGCCCAAUAAGAGAGUGAGCCUGCGGCUUCAGGAAAGAUCACAGCCAACAGCAGAGCCUCUAGUAGACUUGAGGCAGGACUAGAAGCAGGAUCAGGGAAAGGGGUAGAGGAAGAGUGGCAGGUGGGAAGAGCGAGGGGCAGAUGGGAAGAAAGGGAGAGAUUAUGUAUAUGUAGUGAGACUCCUGACUAUAGCUCCAAAACCAAUUGUAAAGAUGUAGGAUCUUAAUUUGAUCACUUUUGGUGGCAAACUUGUAGUGUAUUUAAGGAAACAAAAAGGCAAACGUUUGUAAUUUCCACUUUAAAAUGUCAGACUUGAUUUGCUUUAACAAAAAUUGUCCAUUAUUUAUAAUCCACAUAAUAAUUCACAUUUCCUGUUGCUGCAGAAUUAUUUUCCUGCUGUAGCAAACUGGCUCAAAUUAAGAUCCUACAUCUGUUAUUGUACAGGCUCCCUGAGUGAGGACUGACUGCUUUUUAGGGCGGAUCGUCUGCGUGUUUUCGCGUUUGGAUGGGUAUGACCGGUUGGAUACGUUUGACAACUCGGGGUGGAAGGAAGGACAAAUAGGACAAAACAGGGAGAGACCAAUAUUGAACUCUUUGUUUUCCGUUGCAAAAUGUUCUGCUACGGUAUGCACUAAUUAAUAUAGCUCCCUACUGAUCUACUUUUAGACAAUGUAUGACCCUUUACUGUUUCAAAUAAAGUAUCUCAUUUUUGGCUGAAGCUUAUGCACUGGUGAGUGAUUCAUUCCACUUUUCUCUG